UAUUUUAUUUAGUAUAAUCUGAGACUGCUUUAAAUUGUUUUAGUUAAUGCACAUCUGUAUCAUUAUUUAAACGUCUCUGAGACUAGUAUUUUCUGCACAUUUAAUUAACUAAUGAAUACAUAAUCGUAUUUCUUCACCAGUUUACCAGUCUACUAGUUUAAGUACAUAGUUGUAGUUAUAAUGUAUCAACUUGAUGUUCGUCUAGCACAUCUCGGUAACUCGUCUAGGUCGACAAAAGUGUUGUUCGUUUCCAUGAAUAUAGUUCCUGUAGCUGGUUCCCGUGGUUCAUCUGAGCAUCUCCCAAUAUUGUUCGACCUUUGGUGUCUGUGUAGAGUUAAAAUGGUUAAAUAUUCGCAUUAAGAGAAGCAUUCAAAUAAUCGUAAAUUUCAAUGUAUAUGAUUUUCAAUUUCUUUUUCAGGUUAAGUCUCCCUUUAUACUUAAGAGAAAAGAUUGCUGGUAAUACUUCAAGAUCAAAGAUGAACUUCCGGUUGCUAGGCUAAACAUGCAGAACCAAAAAUACGUGAGCUUCCCUGUUUCCAGCAGAUGACCAAAAAAAAAUCACCGCUAAAACUUCACGAGCAUAGAUGUACUUCCGGUGUCUAGGCUGCACACACCAUAACAUACUUGGCAUGACCGCUUGUUUUUGGCAAUUGAACAGGACUGUAAUCCUAUUAUAUCCAAAUAUUUGUGAGAAAAACUGCAUUGAAUAAUCAAUUUUCAUUACCAGAUACAAAUCAUACUGUUUUACUUAAAUUUAUCGGUAUAAAAAUGUCUGACAUUCACUUGUAUAAGCAUAUCACUUUUGAACCCAUUUUUCUACUAAGAAAUGUUAAUAUUAUUAAGACCAAUUCUCUGUAAGAACCAAAAAAAGUUGGAAACUCAUAGUCACAGAUUUCCUUUAAACCGAUUUUUUCUUGAAGAGGGUGCAAAAUUAAGAAAAUCCUGUUUUUCAUUUUUCAAUAUAUGUCCCGGUUACCAUGGAAACGAGGAUGCAAAUCCCCAACUUGCUGAAUUUUCAAAAAAGUAGGGGUGCUUGCCUAUUUUGUUAUCUGGAAAAUACUAUAAAGUGUCCUUUAUUUUCGUACUUGCAAAUUUUAAAGGCAAAUGAACAAGGUUUCAUACCAAACUAAUAUUUCCAAAUAUUUAUUUGAUUCUUGUAUGAUCUAGACUUUUAUCUGCAAGAAAAAAUAUAUUUAUGAAGCAAAACAUAUGUUUAUAUUGUGCUCUACAUCUUGAAAAGUGCACAGGUCUCAGCAGAAAAGUAUAUUUGUUUGUAUAAAGGGAAGAUGAUAUUUCAAAAAGAAACAUAAAUCGUAGUGGGUCAUUCAGACACAUUCUUGUAGAUUUAGGCCAAAGUUUAUGAUUUGAGGCAUUUUUCCUAUUUUUAUUACCUCCCAUUGAUGCUCUUCAUUUAGGAAAUCACCAAAGGCUUAUCUAAGUUUACUUCCUGGAUUAUGCUGAAUUCAGAUUUCUACUCGGAUUUUGCAAAUUUUUAGUAUAUAGAUACAAUGACAGUCAGAGAUUUUAUGCUAAAUGGGCAUGUGAUGCUUGGAUGUGUCCCUUCAAACCAAGUCCACGUUUAAAAUUUGCUGAAUAGCGACACUGUCUGGGAAAAAUACUCUGGCAGAAAAGAGUCUAAACUGUGGAUAGACAUCAGAGUCUGACAUCUGUCUGUUUAUUUCCAUAAGUGAAGUUUGUAUCAACUGACUGAAGGAUCAGUGUUAAAGGAUAACACUACAAUGAAAACAGCUGUGAGUUGUUUCUUUUGAAAAUGACUGCUUGAUGAUAAAGUUUCAAACAACUAUGGAGUGAGUGGAUGUUCUAGAGAGACUAAUUCUUUAAAGAAUGAAUGAUCAUCAUCAUCCUUAUAUUGGAAUAAAAGGAAGAAAGUGACAGCUACAGUCAUAGUAAAAGUAAAUUCAGUCAGAAGACCUCUGAUAUCACCUGAAGAGCCAGCCUUCUCAAGAUUCUGUAUCAAAUAAAAAUAACAAGGACUGCUAAAAAGACUUUUUUAUAACUUGCAAAUGUGCAGUCUGUGACAUAACUGUCUGAUCCAGGUAGUUUAGUGUUGACAAGAUGACAUUUCAUCUCUAUAGUAGAGGACACAAGUUUGAAAUGCAGUAUGUCAUUGUGAAGGCAAAAUGUUUAUGAAAAUAGUGUGUGUGUUUUCCAAAUAGAGAGGCUGAAAGUGGGGAAUCAUCAAUUAGUGUUUUUGGAAUAAGUUAUGGACAUCUGAAUAAUGAAGAUCUGUCCCUUUUUUGGAUUGCUACAGACCAAAAUAAUGAUUGGUGCCUUUGACAUAAAUAGAAGAACUCAAUCUGGACACCCUGAAGAUGGAAUUAUGUUGUUUGCAUUAAUGUUUCUUUUUCAGAUUUAUGGAAAAAAUUAGAAUGUCAUUUCUUAAAAAUGUUGAUAGUUGUUUAACCAAAGGCCCUGUAAUUGAAAAAUAUCUUUAUUCUUGACUUUAUAUUAAAAUUAAAAAAUAUCUGAUACUGUUUGAUUACUUUUGCAUGUAUAACAUUAAAUUUGUUAUAUUUAAAUUUGAUAAAAUUUAAUGUAUUUUGAAAAAGAUGCACUUGGACAUAUCUAAAUGGAAUAAACACAUGACAGUCUUUGAAUAUCUGUAAAAAAAGCACAUGUUUUGCAGUUCUCAUCAGAUUUGGUUACCAAUUUACAGCAUAAUUAUACAUGAAGGCUUAUUACUCAAACAAAUGCAGAUCUAAUUGUAUUUUCUACCAUAGAUAAUUUUAUUUCAUAUAGAUUUUUUAAAUCUUUAAAAAAUACUGAGAAAAUAUAGCAAAACAAUGGUUAAAUUAGUAUACUUGAUUUUGUGAGACUGUUGAAAGAUUACAAUUCUUUUUCCCUCUUAAGCCUGUAUCAUAAAAUCAUAUUUUCUGAUGAAAUUUAUUUUUAGCUCAUCUGAUUUUUUGAAAAAAAAUGAUGAGUUAUUGUCAUCACUUGAGCGGUUGUCGGCGUCGGCGUCGGCGUCUGCGUCGGCGUUGCCUGGUUAAGUUUUAUGUUUAGGUCAGCUUUUCUCCUAAACUAUCAAAGCUAUUGCUUUGAAACUCGGAAUACUUGUUCACCAUCAUAAGCUGACCCUGUUUAGCAAGAAACAUAACUCCAUCUUGCUUUUUGCAAGAUUUAUGGCCCCUUUUGUACUUAGAAAAUAUCAGAUUUCUUGGUUAAGUUUUAUGUUUAGGUCAACUUUUCUCCUAAACUAUCAAAGCUAUUGCUUUGAAACUUGGAAUACUUGUUCACCAUCAUAAGCAGACCCUGUACAUCAAGAAACAUAACUCCAUCUUGCUUUUUGCAAGAUUUAUGGCCCCUUUUGUACUUAGAAAAUAUCAGAUUUCUUGGUUAAGUUUUAUGUUUAGGUCAACUUUUCUCAUAAACUAUCAAAGCUAUUGCAUUAAAACUUGCAACAGUUUUUCACCAUCAUAAGUGGACACUGAACAUCAAGAAACAUAACUCUAUCCUGCUUUUUGCAAGAAUGAUGGCCCUUUUUAGACUUAGAAAAUCAUGGGUAGGACAAUAUUUCUAUUACACAAAAAAAAUCAGAUGAGCGUCAGCACCCGCAAAGGCGGUGCUCUUGUUUAAGAAUGUUGCAGCGCAGAUUUUAAUGAAAAUUAAUACAUUUGUAAAGUUACCUAUAUUGUGUUAGGUAAUAACUUAAGCCCAUAUAUACUAAUUGGCCAAUGAUUAAAGAGAACAUCUGAGUUUCUAGCUGACUUUCUGACUAUUUUAAGACUCUCAUUCAUGUAACAACAUCUAUUAAUCUUCAGAAAUCCAGUAAAAUUGUCAUCUGUAAAACAGGUUUCAUUCUAAGAUAUACAAGGCAUAUAACAUC